CGACGACUGUUGGAAUAGUUAAUUGCAAUUAGGAAGAUGGAAAAUUAGUUAAUUGUAACAGUUAAAGGUGAACAUUAAGGUAACAAGAAAAUCACAAAUGGCUAAUGAGAAGGUAAGAAUUGUGUCAGAACAAGUGAGAUUAUCGCUUCAGGCCUAAAAUGUGAAUUGAGAAUAUAAAAGUUAACAGUUUUCACUAAUGAAUCAAAUAAAUGAGAGAGAGAAAACAAAAAUUAAAACGGAAGCUUGAGAUGUUUAAUCUUCUCUAUAUACAGAAAAGAUUAAACAAAAGGUAAUGUUUACCUUGUUUUCCCUUGACUGUUAUCCUUAUGUAAACGCUACCGGAAAAAAGGUAUUAAUACCUUGGAGUUUUUGAAAAGUGGCCUAAGUUAAUUGUGGCUCGUGGUCCGUGUCAAUGGACAACACCCAAAGAGACCGGAUAAUAACAUCUUCUAGUGGUGAACAUUUGAUUGUUCAUGGUUUGAGUUUAAUCUCAAAAUUAUUCAACAUCAAUUCCUAAUCCAAGAAUCCUAAUUGUUGGUGAUGAUUAACCUCUUUUUGGUGACCAUUGAGAACUUCAUAAACAAGGAUUAAGAUUAAUUGUCCAAGAUGAGGAUCGUUUAUAUUGUGUUCCAAUUAACGGAAGUAAUUAAAACGUUGGGAUAAUUUGAUAACAAUUAACUUAUCUUAUUAUUCAUCAUUUUGAUACUUUUGUUUUGAUUUUUUCAGGGGAAACAAAUUAAAAUCUUAUUGUAUCAACUAGUGAAAGUUAAUGUUA